CACAGCCUAACGUAUUGUUUUGA
rnacentral:snRNA from 1 species